UAAAAAUUUCCCCAAUAAUUGUGACCAACCCUUACAUUUCUGGUGCAAAGAGGAGCCGCACAACCAGCCACACAAGUUCUCUCGGCACCUGCUCCAUCUCCGGCAACGUGAACUAUUUUCGGCGCCGACUGCGUCAUUUCUGGCGGCACCAAGCAUAGAGGACAACGGCAGCGUUUGUAUCCUCCAUCUUCAGAGGCACCAAGACAGAUGCAAUUUUUGCUCCGCUGGGCAUUCAAUCCAACACAGUUCCCAUAAACAGCUUUGGUUCUGAAGCAGCAUGCAGUACCCCUGAAUCUCGCUCCCAAACUUUCAUCCUCUUAUGCAAAGAAGUAGAAUCUGACUCAUUAGUAAGUGUGGCAAAGUAUUUCCCAUCGCCCCGCCAAGAGAUAAGGCUCCUAAACUCAUAUCUUGAAGAAACGUUUGGUUCAUCAUCUGAGACAAUAAUCUAGCUUAAUUAGCAAAUUGCAAAACUUAGUCAAAACAUGUUGAAGUUUUUAGGGGGGGGAAAAGGAUCUCUAGUCAAAUUACAAAAGCCAAAUAUUGGAAGUUGAUCAUGCUUUUAACAUGUUUUAAAGUAGCUUCAUAAUCCAAGUUUUACAGCCAAAAAAUUGGUUGUAAAAGGUAAGAAUUUUAAUCAAUAAAGCAUACUCUUGAUUUCUUGAAAAUUAAUGGCAUUAAAAAUGACACCAUCAAUUAUUAUAUGGUGUGUCCAAUGAGAAGAGGACAUGGAGAAGAAAAAAACCCCAACCUACUACAAACUUUUGCAUAAUUUAAUUUGCAUCUCUAAAGAUGAUAUGUUGUGAAAAAAAUGAUGUAUAGCCUAUGAAAUGCCCAUGUCCCAAUCGAAUAGCGUUCUCAAACUCCAGUCAUGCACAGGUAUCAUGUAUCUUAAAAUAUAUAUGGAUAGAUUAAAAGACGUAAUAAAAUCAAACGAGAUGUCUGAUUUUCCUUAUAUGCACAGGUUAAUGUUUUUCUGCUCUUUUUCUUGACUUUAGUAAAGCUGGGGUGGGGCCACAGAUGUUGUCUCCUCUUUUCUAUUGCCCUUACCAUUUUAUGUAUCAUGUUAUCUCCCUGGUCCAAUUUUCUUCCGUCUGUACCACAGUUGAGUGUGUUUUUUUUUCUUCUUUUUUGUUGCAGAUUAGAAUUAACAACAGCUUUGUUUCAUCAUUUUGAGAGGUAAUCUAUAAACUAAAAUGCAAAACUGAGUCUCGAGGUGGACAAUCUGCAUAUUUUCUUCAAGAAUAUGAAGUAGAAACAGAUAAUUUUAUUGAGAUGUACCUUAGACCUCCUUCAGCCAGUGAAGAAGCACUGACAAAUGAUUGGAUAAAAGUGUGUCAAUCUGGUAUUAGAUAUUAUCUAUCUCUUGGUGAUCAAAGGAUUGUUGACAAGAAUUGCAUCAUCAGGCCAAAAGUUGAGUUUGAGCAGGUUGGAAGGAUGACUUUAGGUGGGCUGCUUGCUUUGGGGUACAAUGUAGUUGUCAGUUAUAAAUGAGCAUCUACAUCAGUGAAUAAUGACAAUGUAUCCAUUUCACUUGAAACAAUUGAUACUCUUGGUGAGACAUUCAUGGUGCUGAGGGGUACAAAUCGAAAAACAGUUGGAAAUGAAGCAUCAAAGAUGGGCGUUAGUGGACCGUGGCUCACUAAAUCAUAUCUUAAAAUGAGUAUGGAUAGAAAAGGUGUACCUCGUCUUAAUACACCUCCACUUUUGCCUAAUACAUCUCUGGCCACUGGCCAGCAAUCAAGACAAAACGAUAAUUACACCAAGGCCAAUCCGGGUUACUCCGAAUCUUGUUAAUAAGCUUGAGGAUCUAUCUCAGCCAUGGACUCGAUCUCCAAAAAAAUAAAAAAUGGAACCUGUAGUGGCAACAUGGCAUUUCAUUUCUUCAGACCCUCCUGCAGAUAGCUCAACCACCGAUCCUUCCAGUUUCAGGGACACCAUGAAACUUGCUCCAAUGCCCGAUUCAUAUGACUUGGAUAGAGGAUUGCUUUUUUGUGCAAGCAAUACAAGAAUGGACUGGAAGAUAAGUUAGAAGUCUCUUAAUCAUUUUGAAAUUAUGACAGUGAGAACUUGAAUAGAAUUAUUUAUAUAACUCUUAUGUUGAUAAUUCAGGCUUUGUUGGAGAAUAAAGGUUUCCCAGUUAUAGUUGGAAUUGGUCUGUUGAACUACUCCCUCCCUCCUCUUGUUGUUGAUAUUAAACUUGGCUGGCUUUUCUGCUAGCACUUACAUAUUUGAUAUUAAAGUAUGUAAAUUGAGUUGCA